rnacentral:lncRNA from 1 species
UUGAGAGGGGGUACAUUAGAAGUUUAUUAUGCAUGCAUCGGGUACUUAAAUUUGAGCAACUUAUCAUUCUUAUUUGCAAAAGAGGAGUGAGCAUUUUUACUUGUAAAAGAGAACGGAUUGAUCUCUAUCUUGCUCAUCAUAGGGAUGGUGCCAAUGGGGAGGCUAAUGGUAGUACCCGGCACUAUUUGACCCAACUAUUCGGUGUAGGGUACAUUAGGGACGGCACAAGAGGGAGGCUAGUGGUAGUACCUCGUGCCCUUUCCCAACUACAUCGGGUAGGGAGCAAAUAGAGUUUCGAAACGUCUCUCUUGGGAGAAAGAAGAGAGAGUUUUUACUUGUUGUAAUCCUUGUUGUAAUUGGAGAAGAUUGAGUGGUGUUCAUUACAAUUUUUAUAAAAAGAGGAGGGCCGGAUCAUCCCUUGGGUGACGGCCAAAGGGGGAAUAGAGUGGCAAUUGGAGAUAAAGAAACAAUGAAGUCCGGUGCAUACUCAAACACUAGCCGGCAAGGAGUUGAUCUCAUGAAGGAGAGUGAGGCAUCUUUGAGGAGGGCAAACGAGACCCUAUCUAAAAUUAGAAAGAAUCUAAAGGAGAGGGAAGAAAGAGAGAGGAAAGAUGAAUUCAUGAGGAGAAGAGAAGAGAGAAGAAUAGAUGAGAGAAGAAGGGAGAAAGAAGUAAGGAGAGAUGAAGAAAAAAGAAGAGAAGAAAAGAGGAGGAAUUGGGAGUACCGGAGUACUCAAGGAGCAAGUAGCUAUGCUAACCACCAUGGGGAGCAUGGCUAUGGGGAAAGUAGGUGGAGAGAGGACCAAUUGA